rnacentral:lncRNA from 1 species
AAAGAUCACUAAAAAAAAUUAUCUUAUAUAAACAAUCACUCAUUACACAAUCAAACCUUAAAUUUAGAGUAAAACAGGAGAGAAAAAACAGAGUAUUUUUUUAUGUACAUGACAUACGAAAAGUUAAUAAAAAAAUUAUACAAAAAUUAGAAAUUAUACCAUUUAUAAGUAGAAUUGAGUUCAUAUGGUUUAAUAAAAGUUAUCAUAAAUAAUACUACGACAUAAAUUAUUAUUAUUUACAAAUAUUUUAUAAAUUACUAAAAUUUAACUUUCUCCCAAAUAUAGAAAUUGAAUUUGUAAUUUAAUAUAAAAAGAAAAGUAAGGUAGCAAUAAUAUAUAAAGAACUACUAUAUUCAUUUAUUAAUUUACACAAAAACCAUCAACUAUAAUCUUUCCAAAGCCCCUAGAAAAAAAAAUAUGAAGAAGGAAGAAAAAAGAGAGAUAGAGAAAAUACAAACAUUAAUCCAAGUCUGCAAAUCUCCCAACACUUUGUAUAUUCAUAUAUAUUAUAUAUAUAUAUGGAUCUGAAAAUUAAUGGAAGCUUUAUUUCAAUGGCCAACACCAGGGCUUGGAACAUCACCAUACAUUCUAUAAGGAUCAUUGUCCUUCGAAUCAUCAUCCAAUGAACCAUCUCCUAUUUCUUCAUGUUCUUGAGCUCUGCCAAGUGCCACGCGGUGGCACGGCAAACGACAGGCAGAGCUGCAAACUCCGACACCAAAAACGAAGAAGAUGACAAGGGCAAGCAGAAGAAGGUUUUUGAUUCUAAUCAUCUUAAUGAUCUUAGAAUGACCCAUUUGGAGGUUUUUUGGCUAUGAAGAAUGAGAAGGAUCAGAAGGAGAAAAAAGGGCUUGUGUUUUUGUUUUUGUUUCUGGGAGAGAGAUGAUAUAAUGAGGAGGCUGAAUAUGGAGGAUGGGUAAAGUGGUUUUAUAGAGGAGCAUCAUGAUGAAGGAUGAAGGAGGGUGUAUUUAUUAGGAUCUUAAAAGGUUAGGGGCCUUGUGGGUCAUUCAUUCCAUUCCAUGAUCAAUAUGUUUGUUCUUUUGUAAAGUGGAUUUAAUACCAUGUAUAUGAAAGUUUUGACAAUUUUGAAAUGUUUAAACUUUUUGCCCUCUCCC